rnacentral:rRNA from 1 species
UCCGUAGGUGAACCUGCGGAGGGAUCAUUACACAAUACAAUAUGAAGGCUGUCCGCAGCUGGAGUAUUUUAUUACCCUUGUCUUUUGCGCACUUGUUGUUUCCUGGGCGGGUUCGCUCGCCACCAGGACCACCAAAUAAACCUUUUUUAUGCAGUUGCAAUCAGCGUCAGUACAAACAAUGUAAAUCAUUUACAACUUUCAACAACGGAUCUCUUGGUUCUGGCAUCGAUGAAGAACGCAGCGAAAUGCGAUACGUAGUGUGAAUUGCAGAAUUCAGUGAAUCAUCGAAUCUUUGAACGCACAUUGCGCCCUUUGGUAUUCCAAAGGGCAUGCCUGUUCGAGCGUCAUUUGUACCCUCAAGCUUUGCUUGGUGUUGGGCGUUUUUGUCUUUGGUCGCCCAAAGACUCGCCUUAAAGUGAUUGGCAGCCGGCCUUUCUGGUUUCGCAGCGCAGCACAUUUUUGCGCUUGCCAUCAGCAAAACGGCAAUCCAUCAAGCCUCCUUCUCACGUUGACCUCGGAU